AUUUUGUUUUGUUUGGUACUGAACGUAAAAAAUAAUUAUAAAUCUGUUCUUAUCAGUUUAAUAUCCGAUACGUCCCCCAUCGGGGGACUACAUAUUAAAUGGAUUUUUCGAACAGGGAGUCGGAAAUGGGGCUUGCUCCGUCCGCUCCACGCAUCGACCCGGUAUUGCAGUACCUCCGGGAACGGUGCAACACUU
rnacentral:snRNA from 1 species